UAUGCUGUGAUACAAAGGUUGAGUUGACUGCACGUUUUGUAUUUAUUCGUCACUAUUUUUUAGGAUACUUACCGUUGAAUUGUUUCGAAGGAUAUCUGCUAGUAAUUGAAUAUUUUUUACCUUUCUGUCUGAAAUAUGUUAUUAUUUAAAAUGUUUUCGUUCUCUGUUAAAACCAGAUCACGUGAUUUCUAUCGUGGUUUUGAUUUGUUGGACUUUAUCGAUAUCAAACGCGUAUGAAAAACUUAGUAAGUAACUGUACUGCUUAGGCUUACUCAAAAGUUAAAAUUAGUUUAACUUCAGCUAAGCAGCAGAGAGAGUUGGUGAGGUAGUAGUAACUGCUUGUUUAUUUUAUAAACAUUGAAAUUAAAACACUUUAACAAUAUGAUUAGAAUUCAACCAGUAAAAUCUGAGAGAGCAGAUCCCAUUGAAGAGAAGAAAAAAGCAAGAGCAGGUGUUUUGAGCAGUUUGCUUACUUUCGUAGUCAUUGUUGCGAUCAUACGAGCAGCACCUUAUGCCUUGGAGCAGAUAAAUAAAUAGAGCCUCAAAUUUCAUGUUCUUGGAUGGCCAUCAAGUUCAUUUUUAUCCCAUUAUGUGGAAGAUUUUAUGUUCAUCUAGUGUUUUUUGGAUUGUUCUGAGACAAAAUGUAGAAAAUAAGAUAACUACAAUGUUAAGCUUAAAAUUAUCUGUUCUGUACACAGUUUCAUGACAUUUAUAUAAAUAAAAUGUACAUUAUCAGGAGUUUUUUUUUCUCUGUCAUUAGGUAUAUUGCUAAUUUGUGUAUUUUUAAUUCUAAUACAUUAAUACAAAGUUUAAAAGUAUAUUUUUAAGUUAUUUAUGAGAAGUUCACAAAUUCACAUAUUCUAGAACAGUGCUUCACAACUGAUGUGUCAUGAGCAGGUUUGCUGCAGAAAUUUGGAACAGUAACAGUGAAGAAAAUGAAUGAAAUAUAUCAUUUAUAUAAAUCAUUAUACAGGCAUGAGAUUGUACAUCAUUGUAUGGUCUAAUGACUUUGUAGUUCACUUGGUAAUAGUCAUGUGUUGGACUAAGGAAUUGUGUCACUCAAAAUUUUUGUUAAAGUAUGCCUUGUGCUGGAAAAUACAAUUUACAGAUGAACAUAACCCUAAUCAGCACUAGUAUGCUGUAAUAUUGAUAUUUUUAUUUGACCUGAUCACUGAAAAUGAACCUUAUUGUUCAUAUUUUCUAUAUUCCAAACUUGCAUUUGCAAUUAUUUAUGUGCUAAUGAAUAUCAUUUGUGAGUUUUCAGUAAUUUCUUUUAAACAUCUUGCAAAUUCAUAAGGAUGUUUUUAUUAGUCUAAAACAUUAAAUUAAUUUGUUUUGUAAGUUUACACACUAGUUAGAAAAGCAAUAGUUAGUGAUACAUCAGAAUAUUUUAAACAUUUUUUUGGUAAUUAAACAUAGUUUGCUUACAAUCAACUCUAUAGUUAUUUAAAACUACAUAAGUGGUGCUGAAAUCAAUCUUUAGUUAACAAGCUUUCUGUGUAAUGAAAAAAAAAUUGUGAAUAUUGUGUUACAAAAAGUCAACUUCAGUAUAAAACAUUCAAAAGAAAUUAUUUUGCAAAAUAAUACAGGUGUAACAAAAUGCAUUGAUCAAAAUAUCCUGAAGGUACAAAAUGGAAGAUCCUAAUGAAACUGCCUGAGAUAAAAUACAAAAGAAACACAACAAAUGUAGUUAAAGUAAGAUUCUCUCUCUCUCUUAUUUUGAUGAAUACCUUUUAUAGCCACUGUAAGAGAACCACAAAUCAAGAUAUUUAGUUAUUUCAGUAUUAAAAAAAAAGUUUGGAAGAAAAUAGUCAUGUAAGAGUUAGCAAAUAUUUGAAGAGUGGUUUUUUUGUGUGUGUGUGUAUUCAAAGGCAUGUUAAUUGGCAUGACGUGCUAUUGUGUAGAAAUUUAAUUUGAAUUUACAACAGAACAUUUGGAAGUAGCUAAAUACUCACAGAUGUGAAGAAAUGACUCAAAAACAUUAAAGUUUUCCUGAAGGCCACUGAAAGGGAGCCAGUGGGGGUAAUGUAUACUCAUAGGGUUGGCAAGUCAGUCAGUUGACUGAUCAAAUAAUCUGAAGUCUUAAAUACUGUAUUAGCUGAGGUUUUUGUAUUAAUUUUAGGCAUUUCCCCUCUACUUAUAGGGAAGUCUUGGAAUUACACUCCUGUUAAUGGAUUUCAAAAUAAAUAAGGUUUCAAUACAAAAAAAAUGUUGCAGCCUAGUAUUUUGUACUUUUUGCAUAUUUUGUAAUUAUGUCUAUAUAUAAUGCAUGAGUUCCCACUUUUCACCUUCUGAGAACUAUAGGUGAGUAAUAUGAUAAUAUUAUUCAACUUUAUGUAGCCAAUAGCUAUGUUUUUCUUAAGUCUUGCAAUGUAAUUUCAUAAUAAUGAUAUGGUGUUAAAAAAAAGUUAUUUGAUGUAGUAAUUGGUAAUGUUAUUUAUUUAUGAUACAUUAUCAAAAUGGUGGCAAAGAAUGCAGCACUGGCUUUGUUGUUGUCUGAAGGCUGGAGACAAACCAUAAAUUGGUUCUUUUUUAUUUUCAUGUAAGUAGAAUUCAAUAUAUGCAGUUAAGAUAAAAAUAAAUAGAUAAAAUGUUUGAAUAGUUAAAUGCCCAACUUCUCAUGAUUAAUGUAAGUAAGAAAAAAAGCACAGGUAAGGUAUAGAAAUGUGUUGCAAUUCCUACAACAAAAAAAAGAAAGGGAACUAGUGUGUGAUACAUGCAAAGAAAUAGCUAGUACAAAAAUGAAAAUGGUUUUUGUUAUUUACAUGUGCACAACACAAUUUCUAAACCAGUUGUCAUACUGAAUACAUGAGGCUACUGGAUUGCAAGAUGUCGCAUUAUCUGCUGAAUUCUUAGAAUAUAUAAAAUUUUAAAAUUAUGUUGAUGAAAAUUCCAUUGGUCAAACUAGGGUAAUUAUUUUUACUUGGACAAACAACAGAAUAUUUUUCAAAAAGUAUCAUUAAAAUAAAUUAUA